rnacentral:tRNA from 1 species
UAGCAGUAGUUUCGCUGUUUGUGGCAGAAGACUCUUAAUCUUUUGGUUCAGGGUUCGAGUCCCUGGUUACCCA